rnacentral:tRNA from 1 species
AAUAUUAUUUUUUAAUAAAAAUAAUUUUUUAUAUUAAAAUAUAAAUAAUAUCUUUAUAUUUACAAAUAAUAAAAAUUAAAAAAUAUUAAUUUUAUAUAAUAUAAAAUAACAUAUUUAAAUUAUAUGUAAUAAUUAAUGAAACAAACUCUAAUUUAGUAAUUUAUAAAAUUUUUAAAUCCUAUUAAAAAUUUAAAGAAAUAAAAAUAUCUAAAUAUUUACAAAUAUUAUAUUUUUUUAUAAUUA